CACACACACACACACACACACACACUGCACCAGCACCGGGUUCCCGCGAUCCCUCCUCGCCCCCAGCAGCUCCCCUCCCUGUCUCAGGCAGCUGUGCCUGCCGCCCCCGAGCGCCACCCGGGCCACAUCUCAGCCUCCCGCGGUGGCCCCGGCGCACACCCCCGCACAGCGUCACCUACCCUGCCCGGAGCACACGAUGGACGCCGGACGGCGGCUGCUCCAAAGGUCCCCAGGGAAGAAGAGAAAUCCUUGCUGAAGGAAAAGGCUACUACUGAUUACAAAGAAAAGGAAAAGCUCAGGAGAGCAGGAAAACAAGACAGGAAGCAAGCCUGAAUUGGAGAAGUGUCCCUGAAGGUUUUCAUCACCUCCUCUUGCUCUGGGCCCUCCUCAUCAGCCAGCACAGAACUGGAACAGUCCUCAAUUUUGCUACUUAGUAGCCGUGUGAAUGGGAUGACAGAAAGCCAUCUACCCGGCACUACAUACAUACUUACAACAGAAGUAUUCUUAGAAUUGGAGGACUACUUUCCUGCUGGAGCCCGUAAGAGCAAAGGAAAGAAUUGCCCUUGAACUGUGAUGUGUAUUCAUGACUUGCAACCCCCUUGACAUGUACUUGUUCUGCAAAACUCCCUGCUCUCUCCUCCUAUCAACCACACCACCACCACUGGCAAACCACGCAGUAAGGAACAGAAAUAAGAUGGAGCACAGCUGCGUGAGGUAUUAGGUCCUUCCAGGAACACUUUGGAAGACGAGGGCUGGGAUCUCUCUUCUAAUGGAUGCUGAGCCAUGUAUCACAAGAUCAGCACACCUGGAGGUGUGUAAUGGGCUUAUAAAACCACGAUGACACACCCCUGCGAUGUUUACGGCAAAAAUCUGCUCCUACUGAGACCGGAAAAACCCUGACAACUGACUGUUUGUGCCUCAUACUCUUUUAUAUUUCCCUUUUCUGGAUGCUGAGAGUCACAUCUCCAGUCUGCUGCAGUUUCAAAUUUUACCCAAUGGAAUGGGUGUGUCACCAGAAGAAACACUAAUCCUUUGACAGUAGACAUUCAAGCUCAAGGUUAUGCCAGUUUUUAUCAGGAUGGAUGAUGAAAUAAAAGCAAAAGCAAUACACUUAAGACUGCAACCUGGAGUGAUUUUGACUGCAGGGAUAAACAUUUCGGGCAUGAUACAAUUUUCAUAUGUAAUGUUGACAGAUAAAAGAAUGUUAGAGAAGUCAAGAAAAUUAAGUUAUAAGAAUGUCAUCUGAUCUGUAUUUCAGAAUUCCCAGGCCCUUCGCUCAGCUAUCUGCAUACACUAUCCAAAGGGCAGUUGUUCAACUAUCUGUCAGGGCUCAUCCUGAAAAGACACUGGAAACGUGAAAACAUGAGCAGAGGAUUUUGUGCAGCACUUUUUCCCCCUAGGUAGAUUAAUGAGAAACAAGGGUUGCUGAUUUAGCAUUCUCUAGGAUUCUAACAACAUCCCCUCGAUCCUGGAGGCCACAUUAGCUGGUUUUGGAAUUUACCUAACAAGAAAGCAAAUUUUCUUUUCUAAAAUAGAUGGGGCCAGUAGGCCCAUAGACUCUUUGAUCCAUGAAUGCUGUUGCUCCAGGGAGAGCCCUUAGAUUCUUGUUAAAUUUCCCUGUAUGACUCCCCGUCCUCUUCUAAAGCCAGCUGUACACCGUACCUCCUUGAAUCUUGGUUAGCUGAACACUCUACUUGCUUGGCUAAAGCAUAGUAAACACACACCAAACUCAACCCUCUCCUGCAAACCUACCUUUUUUUUUUUUUUUUAAUUAAUUCAAGCCCGAGUGUCUGCACUGUGUUCCCCUAGGUUUUUUCCCUAAAGAAUUCUCAGUCUCACAGACAAGUAGAUACAUGAGAGGUAGCCUUUACCAGGCUCCCGGACAUGCUGAGACAGAGCCUAAAUCCCAUGGUAAAUGAGCCAGUUUAGUCUCCCCCUGGAGCUUCUGCUGCAAUUACGUUUCAGUAAAGUUUGUAUAUUAAUUAUAUAGCAUCAGAUACUUGAAGCCCUGGCCUCAAAAAAAAAUAGGCUACAGUCCAGCUUUGGUUGGGCUGUACCUCCCAGUGGCUACAGUUACCUUCCAGAAUGAUGGUAAUCUCUCAAAAAAACUUCCACGUGAAUUUUAAUUUAAAUGACUUUUAAAAUUAAUACGUGUUAAACAACAAUUAAAGAGAAAGUAGAACUCAUGUUGAAAUAGUAUUUUCUGUCUUAGUGACUGACGUUUAUUUAGUACAUACAGUUUACCAGGCUCUAGGUUAAGCAUUUUAGCAGAUUUUUUCAUGUAAUCCUUCCAACAACACGAGGAGGUAGGUACCACUGUUAUCCACAUUUUACAGAUGAGCAAACAAAGGCUCAAGAGAGUUAAGCAAUAAGGUCAUGGUUGUUCAUUGUAAAAAGGUUUAGAAACUCUCAUGGGGAAAAAAAGAAAAAUGGAAUUCAUCCCAAAACCUACCUCCCACACUCAACCACUGUGAACACUUUGAUGUAUUUAUAUGGCUAAAUAUACAUUUAGAUGAUCAACUUGUUAUAUUAUUUUUCACAAAACAAUAUAUUUAGUUCACAUCAUUUUUACUCACAGUAUUUCAUUCUAUAGCUACACUACUUUGUCUUUAUAGCAGCCUGUUGCUGGAUGUUUCGGAUACUCAUAACACUAUAAAAGUUCCAAAGAGAA